CUGUCAAAAGCCAAACAAAAGUGCCAUGUGAAUCAAUCUUGCAAACAGUAUCCAUCCAUCACUCACUGGGCACCUGGAAAAAUGACCCAAAAAGAGGCUUCAGGACAUAGCCCAAAACAACAUGAGAAACAAUGAGACACAGGAACCAAAAAGGUAUCUGAAGAAACAUCUGAUGUGCACACAAGCUCCAAAAAAGCCUCUAUAUUUCUACAGAAUUUCUUUUGUCUCCUGGCCAAUUUCUUGUGUUGUCAGAAAGUUAUACAACAUAAGCUUGCAAAUAAAAAUCAAGAGAGAUCGAGUUGCAUGGAUUCACAUACUUCAUACAAAGUGAUUUACUGAAGCACCCUUAGUAAAAUACCAGAAACAACCUAAAUGACCAUCAAUAGCAGAUGGCACAGCGUUAUAAUGGAAUAUUAGGCAGGCCUUGCAAACAAGAGGACAACUUCAAUAAAAAACACCAGGUCAGCGGAUAAGACCAUGUCACUCACAGGUUUGUGACUUGAGGCCUGAGCACCAAUGAUCCACUCCACAUCAGUGGAGAAUGUUGGAAAGUAAGGACGCUGUGGACAUUUUCUGAAGUUGGAGAAAUGGAAUGGUGGAGAAGCCAGUAUUGGGGUACCAUGAGUGGAGCAGAGUUGACUACAAAUCUCAAUAAAGCUUUUCAACUGUAUACCUAACUGCAAAGUCAUUUACUCACAACAAGC
rnacentral:lncRNA from 1 species